CGGUAAAAGAUGGGCCCGCAUCUGAUUAGCUAGUUGGUGAGAUAACAGCCCACCAAGGCGACGAUCAGUAGCCGACCUGAGAGGGUGACCGGCCACAUUGGGACUGAGACACGGCCCAAACUCCUACGGGAGGCAGCAGUGGGGAAUAUUGCACAAUGGGGGGAACCCUGAUGCAGCAACGCCGCGUGAAGGAAGACGGUUUUCGGAUUGUAAACUUCUAUCAAUAGGGAAGAAAGAAAUGACGGUACCUAAAUAAGAAGCCCCGGCUAACUACGUGCCAGCAGCCGCGGUAAUACGUAGGGGGCAAGCGUUAUCCGGAAUUACUGGGUGUAAAGGGAGAGUAGGCGGCAAGGUAAGCGAUAUGUGAAAGCCUUAGGCUUAACCUGAGGAUUGCAUAACGAACUAUCUAGCUAGAGUACAGGAGAGGAAAGCGGAAUUCCUAGUGUAGCGGUGAAAUGCGUAGAUAUUAGGAAGAACACCAGUGGCGAAGGCGGCUUUCUGGACUGAAACUGACGCUGAGGCUCGAAAGCGUGGGGAGCGAACAGGAUUAGAUACCCUGGUAGUCCACGCUGUAAACGAUGAGUGCUAGGUGUCGGGG
rnacentral:rRNA from 1 species